rnacentral:rRNA from 1 species
UGGGGAAUCUUGGACAAUGGGGGCAACCCUGAUCCAGCGAUGCCGCGUGAGUGAAGAAGGCCUUCGGGUCGUAAAGCUCUUUAGGCUGGGAAAAAGACUAUUUGAGGAAAUGCGAGUAGUUUGACUGUACCAGCAGAAUAAGCACCGGCAAACUCUGUGCCAGCAGCCGCGGUAAUACAGAGGGUGCGAGCGUUGAUCGGAGUUACUGGGCGUAAAGGGCGCGUAGGCGGUCGUGUGAGUGUGAUGUGAAAGCCCCGGGCUUAACCUGGGAAGAGCAUCGCAAACGACACGACUGGAGUAGAUGAGAGGGUGGUGGAAUUUCCGGUGUAGCGGUGAAAUGCGUAGAGAUCGGAAGGAACGUCAAUGGCGAAGGCAGCCACCUGGCAUCAUACUGACGCUGAGGAGCGAAAGCAUGGGGAGCGAAC